CGGGUGAGUAACACGUAUGCAACCUGCCUGCCACAGCCGGAUAAUCGGGAGAAAUUCCGUCUAACACGGCAUAAUGCAUCGACGGGACAUCCUGUUGGUGCCAAAGGUUAAUUCCGGUGGCGGAUGGGCAUGCGUCGCAUUAGUUAGUUGGCGGUGUAACGGACCACCAAGACGACGAUGCGUAGGGGUUCUGAGAGGAAGGUCCCCCACACUGGUACUGAGACACGGACCAGACUCCUACGGGAGGCAGCAG
rnacentral:rRNA from 1 species